UGGGGAAUAUUGGACAAUGGGCGCAAGCCUGAUCCAGCCAUGCCGCGUGAGUGACGAAGGCCUUAGGGUUGUAAAGCUCUUUUGGCGGGGAAGAUAAUGACGGUACCCGCAGAAUAAGCUCCGGCUAACUUCGUGCCAGCAGCCGCGGUAAUACGAAGGGAGCUAGCGUUGUUCGGAAUCACUGGGCGUAAAGCGCACGUAGGUGGGCAGUUAAGUCAGGGGUGAAAGCCCGAGGCUCAACCUCGGAAUUGCCUCUGAUACUGGCUGUCUAGAGUUCGAGAGAGGUGAGUGGAAUUCCUAGUGUAGAGGUGAAAUUCGUAGAUAUUAGGAAGAACACCGGUGGCGAAGGCGGCUCACUGGCUCGAUACUGACACUGAGGUGCGAAAGCAUGGGGAGCAAACAGGAUUAGAUACCCACGUAGUCCCUGAGCGGGCUGGCAAGGCG
rnacentral:rRNA from 1 species